rnacentral:rRNA from 1 species
CGCUGGCGGCGUGCCUAACACAUGCAAGUCGAGCGAGGAGAUCCUCGGGAUGAUCCUAGCGGCGGACGGGUGAGUAACACGUGGGCAACCUGCCUCAUAGAGAGGAAUAGCCUUCCGAAAGGGAGAUUAAUACCUCAUAACAUUGCAGUUUCGCAUGGAACAGCAAUUAAAGGAGUAAUCCGCUAUGAGAUGGGCCCGCGGCGCAUUAGCUAGUUGGUGAGGUAACGGCUCACCAAGGCGACGAUGCGUAGCCGACCUGAGAGGGUGAUCGGCCACAUUGGGACUGAGACACGGCCCAGACUCCUACGGGAGGCAGCAGUGGGGAAUAUUGCACAAUGGGGGAAACCCUGAUGCAGCCAACGCCGCGUGAGUGAUGACGGCCUUCGGGUUGUAAAGCUCUGUCUUCAGGGACGAUAAUGACGGUACCUGAGGAGGAAGCCACGGCUAACUACGUGCCAGCAGCAGC